AAAAAUGUAGUGUAUUGUUAUAUAUGAUUUUCGCCAAAGUAAAACAGCCUUGUUUAAUAGUUGUGAAUGGGAGCCACCCUUGGCCAUAUGGUGUACUGCAUAUCUGCUGCGUGUAGUCUUGUGUUGCUUCCCUACCCGAUCAGAGUAGCCGUAUGCUUUUGAUCUGAUGCUGUACGUGGUACACCGAAGCCUGAAGGCAAUGUUUUGAUUUAUUUUCUUAAAGG